GACGAACGCUGGCGGCGUGCCUAAUACAUGCAAGUAGAACGCUGAAGGAGGAGCUUGCUUCUCUGGAUGAGUUGCGAACGGGUGAGUAACGCGUAGGUAACCUGCCUGGUAGCGGGGGAUAACUAUUGGAAACGAUAGCUAAUACCGCAUAAGAGUGGAUGUUGCAUGACAUUUGCUUAAAAGGUGCACUUGCAUCACUACCAGAUGGACCUGCGUUGUAUUAGCUAGUUGGUGGGGUAAGGGCUCACCAAGGCGACGAUACAUAGCCGACCUGAGAGGGUGAUCGGCCACACUGGGACUGAGACACGGCCCAGACUCCUACGGGAGGCAGCAGUAGGGAAUCUUCGGCAAUGGACGGAAGUCUGACCGAGCAACGCCGCGUGAGUGAAGAAGGUUUUCGGAUCGUAAAGCUCUGUUGUAAGAGAAGAACGAGUGUGAGAGUGGAAAGUUCACACUGUGACGGUAUCUUACCAGAAAGGGACGGCUAACUACGUGCCAGCAGCCGCGGUAAUACGUAGGUCCCGAGCGUUGUCCGGAUUUAUUGGGCGUAAAGCGAGCGCAGGCGGUUAGAUAAGUCUGAAGUUAAAGGCUGUGGCUUAACCAUAGUAGGCUUUGGAAACUGUUUAACUUGAGUGCAAGAGGGGAGAGUGGAAUUCCAUGUGUAGCGGUGAAAUGCGUAGAUAUAUGGAGGAACACCGGUGGCGAAAGCGGCUCUCUGGCUUGUAACUGACGCUGAGGCUCGAAAGCGUGGGGGAGCAACAGAUUACAUACCCCUGGUAGUCCAGGGGCGAAUUCCACAGUGGAUAUCAGCUUAUCGAUACCGUCGACCUCGAGGGGGGGCAUCGAGUAGCACAAGCUUUUGUUCCCUUUAGUGAGGGGUUAAUUAAA
rnacentral:rRNA from 1 species